rnacentral:rRNA from 1 species
UACGUAGGGUGCAAGCGUUAAUCGGAAUUACUGGGCGUAAAGCGUGCGCAGGCGGUGAUGUAAGACAGUUGUGAAAUCCCCGGGCUCAACCUGGGAACUGCAUCUGUGACUGCAUCGCUGGAGUACGGUAGAGGGGGAUGGAAUUCCGCGUGUAGCAGUGAAAUGCGUAGAUAUGCGGAGGAACACCGAUGGCGAAGGCAAUCCUCUGGACCUGUACUGACGCUCAUGCACGAAAGCGUGGGGAGCAAACAGG